rnacentral:rRNA from 1 species
AGUGAACGCUGGCGGCGUGCCUAAUACAUGCAAGUCGAACGGAGUGGCGCACGGGUGAGUAAUGUAUAGCUAAUCUGCCCUACACUAGAGGACAACAGUUGGAAACGGCUGCUACUACUCUAUAGUGUAGGUGGAGGCUAUAUUGUAUCAGCUAGUUGGUGAGGUAAUGGCUCACCAAGGCUAUGACGCAUAACUGGUCUGAGAGGAUGAUCAGGAGAACUGGAAGUGAGACACGGUCCAGACUCCUACGGGAGGCAGCAGUAGGGAAUAUUGCUCAAUGGGGGAAACCCUGAAGCAGCAACGCCGCGUGGAGGAUGACACUUUUCGGAGCGUAAACUCCUUUUGUUAGGGAAGCGGUACCUAAAGAAUAAGCACCGGCUAACUCCGUGCCAGCAGCCGCGGUAAUUC